AAAAAAACUGAAAAUAAUGAAAUUGAAAAAGGAAUAGGGUUUGGAGUAGUUGUGACGAUCGGUCUUCACGAUCCUUCUUUCAACCUUCUCACGGCAGCUUGCUUACAAUCUUCAUCAUACUCCGACGAUUCCUCCACCGUUCAUCUCCGAAAUUCCAACGCCUUGACUCAGCUCUCAUCUUCCUCGAUGCGAAGAAACAUCGGUUACAUCAUCUCUGAUUCGUCCUUCUUUGGAACUCUUUUUAAAUUUCUUUUCUAA